AAAUUCUUAAGUUAAAAAAACUAGAGGCUUUCCAAGCCAAAAAUAGGGAAUACCCUAGAAUUUA
rnacentral:tRNA from 1 species